GUGCUAUUAGUGAAAGGAUUGGAGACUGGUUCUAGCGGUGGUUGGUUUGUUUGAGGAAUUCCUAGUGCUCGUGAUUUGUAAAGGGUUUCAGCCAGGGCAAGUAAUUAUCAGCUGAGCAAAGGCUACAACAUGUUAGGAGGAGAAGUUUGAAUGGAGGCAGAGAGUACACUUGGAAAUAGAAUGGAAAAAGGAAGAGGAGACAAUGCUGAAGCACAAGAGCGAGAGGCUAGCGGAAGUUAAAGCAAUAAACUAUAAGCAUUUUGAAUGAUUAGGGCCUCGCGUUGUUGGGAACAUU